rnacentral:rRNA from 1 species
CCUACGGGGGGCAGCAGUGAGGAAUAUUGGUCAAUGGGCGGAAGCCUGAACCAGCCAAGUAGCGUGCAGGAUGACGGCCCUACGGGUUGUAAACUGCUUUUAUACGGGAAUAACGCGCCUUACGUCUAGUGCUUUGGAUGUACCUUAUGACUAAGGACCGGCUAAUUCCGUGCCAGCAUCCGCGGUGUUACGGAAGGUCCGGGCGUUAUCCGGAUUUAUUGGGUUUAAAGGGUGCGUAGUCGGACGUUUAAGUAAGCGGUAAAAUUGCGGGGCGAAACCUCGUCGAGCCGUUGAAACUGGGUGCCUUGAGUGGGCGAGAAGUGCGCGGAAUGCGUGGUGUAGCGGUGAAAUGCAUAGAUAUAACGAAGAACUCCGAUUGCGAAGGCAGCGUACCGGAGCCCAACUGACGCUGAAGCACGAAGGCGUGGGUAUCGAACAGGAUUAGAUACCCGGGUAGUC